GUGCCAGCAGCCGCGGUAAUACGUAGGUGGCAAGCGUUGUCCGGAUUUAUUGGGCGUAAAGCGAGCGCAGGCGGUUAUGUAAGUCUGAUGUGAAAUCCCCCGGGCUCAACCGGGGAGGGUCAUUGGAGACUGGAUGCACUGGAGUGCAGAAGAGGAGAGUGGAAUUCCACGUGUAGCAGUGAAAUGCGUAGAUAUGCGGAGGAACACCAGUGGCGAAGGCGAUUCUCUGGUCUGUAACUGACGCUGAGGCUCGAAAGCGUGGGGAGC
rnacentral:rRNA from 1 species